rnacentral:piRNA from 1 species
UCCUAAUAGUGACUUUAGAUGGCUUUGAGG